GGGGGGGGGGGGGGGGGGGCCGGGGGGGGGGGAGGGGAGGGGGUGAGGGGGGCGUGCGCCUGGGUUCAGCGGCGGACGGGUGGGUAAGGCCUAGGAAUCUGCCUGGUAGUGGGGGAUAACGUCCGGCAACGGGCGCUAAUACCGCAUACGCCCUGAGGGCGCCAGGGGGGGAUCUUCGGACCUCACGCUAUCAGACGAGCCUAGGUCGGAUUAGCUAGUUGGUGGUGUAAAGGACUACCAGGGCGACGAUCCGCAACUGGUCUGAGAGGAUGAUCAGUCACACGGGAACUGCGACACGGUCCAGACUCCUACGGGAGGCCGCAGUGGGGAAUAUUGGACAAAGGGCGAAAGCCUGAUCCAGCCAUGCCGCGUGUGUGAAGAAGGUCUUCGGAUUGUAAAGCACUUUAAGUUGGGAGGAAGGGCAGUAAGUUAAUACCUUGCUGUUUUGACGUUACCAACAGAAUAAGCACCGGCUAACUUCGUG
rnacentral:rRNA from 1 species